ACUCAAAUGAAUUGACGGGGGCCCGCACAAGCGGAGGAGCAUGUGGUUUAAUUCGAUGAUACGCGAGGAACCUUACCUAGACUUGAACGUAUUUGGAAUGAUGAAGAAAUUGAUCAGUCGAAAGACCAUUUACGAGGUGCUGCAUGGUUGUCGUCAGCUCGUGCCGUGAGGUGUUAGGUUAAGUCCUGCAACGAGCGCAACCCUUACUGUUAGUUACCAGCACGUAGUGGUGGGGACUCUAGCGGAACUGCCGGCGCAAGCCGUGAGGAAGGUGGGGAUGACGUCAAAUCAGCACGGCCCUUACGUCUAGGGCGACACACGUGCUACAAUGGUCGGUACAGAGGGCAGCUACACAGUGAUGUGAUGCUAAUCUCAAAAGCCGAUCUCAGUUCGGAUCGGAGUCUGCAACUCGACUCCGUGAAGUUGGAUUCGCUAGUAAUCGCACAUCAGCCAUGGUGCGGUGAAUACGUUCCCGGGCCUUGUACACACCGCCCGU
rnacentral:rRNA from 1 species